rnacentral:snoRNA from 2 species
AAGCUUAUGAAGAUUAGCUAUACAUCUGGAAUUACUAUCAGAUUUACGUGUGAUGCCAAUUGUAUGGUUUCCUAAGGUUUAAC